rnacentral:rRNA from 1 species
CAGCCGCCGCGGUAAUACAGAGGGUGCAAGCGUUAAUCGGAAUUACUGGGCGUAAAGCGCGCGUAGGUGGUUUGUUAAGUCGGAUGUGAAAUCCCCGGGCUCAACCUGGGAACUGCAUCCGAAACUGGCAAGCUAGAGUAUGGUAGAGGGUAGUGGAAUUUCCUGUGUAGCGGUGAAAUGCGUAGAUAUAGGAAGGAACACCAGUGGCGAAGGCGACUACCUGGACUGAUACUGACACUGAGGUGCGAAAGCGUGGGGAGCAAACAGGAUUAGAUACCCGCGUAGUCCCUGUCUCUUAUAA